rnacentral:rRNA from 1 species
CAGGAUGAACGCUGGCGGCGUGCCUAAUACAUGCAAGUCGAGCGAACGGACGAGAAGCUUGCUUCUCUGAUGUUAGCGGCGGACGGGUGAGUAACACGUGGAUAACCUACCUAUAAGACUGGGAUAACUUCGGGAAACCGGAGCUAAUACCGGAUAAUAUUUUGAACCGCAUGGUUCAAAAGUGAAAGACGGUCUUGCUGUCACUUAUAGAUGGAUCCGCGCUGCAUUAGCUAGUUGGUAAGGUAACGGCUUACCAAGGCAACGAUGCAUAGCCGACCUGAGAGGGUGAUCGGCCACACUGGAACUGAGACACGGUCCAGACUCCUACGGGAGGCAGCAGUAGGGAAUCUUCCGCAAUGGGCGAAAGCCUGACGGAGCAACGCCGCGUGAGUGAUGAAGGUCUUCGGAUCGUAAAACUCUGUUAUUAGGGAAGAACAUAUGUGUAAGUAACUGUGCACAUCUUGACGGUACCUAAUCAGAAAGCCACGGCUAACUACGUGCCAGCAGCCGCGGUAAUACGUAGGUGGCAAGCGUUAUCCGGAAUUAUUGGGCGUAAAGCGCGCGUAGGCGGUUUUUUAAGUCUGAUGUGAAAGCCCACGGCUCAACCGUGGAGGGUCAUUGGAAACUGGAAAACUUGAGUGCAGAAGAGGAAAGUGGAAUUCCAUGUGUAGCGGUGAAAUGCGCAGAGAUAUGGAGGAACACCAGUGGCGAAGGCGACUUUCUGGUCUGUAACUGACGCUGAUGUGCGAAAGCGUGGGGAUCAAACAGGAUUAGAUACCCUGGUAGUCCACGCCGUAAACGAUGAGUGCUAAGUGUUAGGGGGUUUCCGCCCCUUAGUGCUGCAGCUAACGCAUUAAGCACUCCGCCUGGGGAGUACGACCGCAAGGUUGAAACUCAAAGGAAUUGACGGGGACCCGCACAAGCGGUGGAGCAUGUGGUUUAAUUCGAAGCAACGCGAAGAACCUUACCAAAUCUUGACAUCCUUUGACAACUCUAGAGA